rnacentral:rRNA from 1 species
GACGAACGCUGGCGGCGUGCUUAACACAUGCAAGUCGAACGGAAAGGCCCUGCUUUUGUGGGGUGCUCGAGUGGCGAACGGGUGAGUAACACGUGAGUAACCUGCCCUUGACUUUGGGAUAACUUCAGGAAACUGGGGCUAAUACCGGAUAGGAGCUCCUGCUGCAUGGUGGGGGUUGGAAAGUUUCGGCGGUUGGGGAUGGACUCGCGGCUUAUCAGCUUGUUGGUGGGGUAGUGGCUUACCAAGGCUUUGACGGGUAGCCGGCCUGAGAGGGUGACCGGCCACAUUGGGACUGAGAUACGGCCCAGACUCCUACGGGAGGCAGCAGUGGGGAAUAUUGCGCAAUGGGCGGAAGCCUGAUGCAGCAACGCCGCGUGCGGGAUGACGGCCUUCGGGUUGUAAACCGCCUUCGCCUGUGACGAAGCGUGAGUGACGGUAAUGGGUAAAGAAGCACCGGCUAACUACGUG